AGAGAGAGAGGAGAUAAAGAUUCUCAAGUGAUCUAGGAUGCUAGAUUCACAUUACCAUUACAUUCCCAUCAAGUACGAUAGAGGAUAGUAAGAAGAAAAAAAGAGAGAAAAAAAGAUGGAUAGAGGUGUGACAGAAGGGUGCCAUGUACGAGAAUUGGAGAAGCUAGGGAAAGAGCAACUUGAGAAAGAGAUCAGAUGAGAGGGAGAGAGGGG
rnacentral:lncRNA from 1 species